rnacentral:lncRNA from 1 species
GCACCAAAUAAAAGCAAAUUUGAUGAAAAGUUUGUUGGGAUUUGAAAGGGACGUUUACAUCAGAGAAAUGGAAAAGAAGAUCUUGGCCCAAAUUCUGUUCCUGGGUUUUCUACUGCUCUGUACUUUGGAAGUCCAGUCUGAAUGGGAUACAACUACAGAGUAAGAAAGGGCAGCUAUGAAUAUCACAAUCAGAAGCAGCCUUUCACAAAACAGCUUGGAUAUCAAUCUGUGGCCUCUUCCAGUAUUCCUGUUCACUCCAUGAGCGUCUUUGCUUGGAUACGGUACCAGGAAGUGAGCACUUCUACACUUUCCACCUAUGCCCCUCAAAGAUGAAACAG